CAGUCGCCGCGGUAAUACGAAGGGGGCUAGCGUUGUUCGGAAUUACUGGGCGUAAAGGGCGCGUAGGCGGCCGAUCAAGUCAGGCGUGAAAGCCCCGGGCUUAACCUGGGAACUGCGUUUGGGACUGGUUGGCUUGAGUUCGGGAGAGGAGAGUGGAAUUCCCAGUGUAGAGGUGAAAUUCGUAGAUAUUGGGAAGAACACCGGUGGCGAAGGCGGCUCUCUGGACCGAUACUGACGCUGAGGCGCGAAAGCGUGGGGAGCAAACAGGAUUAGAUACCCGAGUAGUCCCUGUCUCUUAUAC
rnacentral:rRNA from 1 species